GAUGAAGAACGCAGCGAAAUGCGAUACGUAAUGUGAAUUGCAGAUCUCUCAGUGAACCAUCGAAUUUUUGAACGCACAUUGCGCCCGCCAGUAUUCUGGCGGGCAUGCCUGUUCGAGCGUCAUUUCAACCAUCAAGCCCCCGGCUUGUGUUGGGGACCUGCGGCUGCCGCAGGCCCUGAAAUCCAGUGGCGGGCUCGCCGUAGCACCGAGCGUAGUAGCACACUUCUCGCUCCGGUAGCAGCGGCGGGCGCUUGCCGUAAAACCCCCCCUAAAAUCUCAAGGUUGACCUCGGAUCAGGUAGGAAUACCCGCUGAACUUAAGCAUAUCAAUAAGCGGAGGA
rnacentral:misc_RNA from 1 species